UUUUGACCCCCAGAUGGCUGCAUGGAGGAUGUGAACCUGGAGAAGCGUGGAGGGGUGGGGGUGAUGCAUGGAGACUCCCAGCUCCACCUGCAGAUGAAGAGAAAACUCCAGAGGAACCACACGAGCUUCCGACAGGAGCAGAUCAACAUGCUGGAGAAAGGACUGCACACUGACACCUUCACAACCUCAAGGACAAGUGUCAUACACCCACGUAAAGUUUAGAAUUGUUGUCCUUUGUUGGAACAAAUACAGCUGUGACUCAUCUCUUGUGUUCUCCUCUAUUCUUCUCUUUGUCUUUGUCAAGAUUUUGAAAGGACACAUUACCCAGAUGUCUUUGCCAGAGAGAGACUGGCAGCCAAAGUUGCCCUUCCUGAAGCUCGCAUCCAGAGCGAAGUGGAGAAGGGAGGAAAAGCUGCGUAACCAGAAGAGGGGGCGGGACAUCCUGUUCUCAAACACACACGCCGCUGAGCACAUCCUUCAACCCUCCUGCCCAUCACUCUCACCACUCUGUCCCAGUGCAGUCUCAGGGCGACUCCUUGGUCACUGGCUAUGGAACGUUGCCCAUGUUUUCCAGUGUGCAGGUAUAUUCCAUUUAUUCUGGAGCUUUGUCUGUGGCACAACUGACAGAUGAACUCAGGUUUGUGUUGGUUCACUGAAAGAAUUUGGACACGCCCUAAAUGCACGCCCCGACCUGCAACAAUCAGGGUUUUCCAUUUCACGUGUGCCACUAAUUCACACCUCCGAUUAUUACUUGAAAAUAUUUCAUUCGUUUGUAAGAUAAAUGUGUUUGUCUAUUUAAAGAAUGCAGCACAAAGUACUUAAGAAGACAAUAAUUAAUGAUUAUCGAAAUUGUUUGUACAUGUAUCUGUUAUGUAAGCGUUUUCUAAAACUAUGCGCCGCUCUAAUGUCCCUUAGGCCUGUGCAAAGUAACCCGUUUCUAUGUCUCCCUCUUGUGGUCGACGAUGGAAUUGUAACGCUCCAGUUCAGCAGCGUAAAACACUCCAACCAACCCUCUUGACAAAGGCCAAACCGCAGAACUCUGAAAGAGAAAACUAUUUUUAAACGCACGUACAAUACUAAAUGACAUUAUGAAUCACAGUACAUAGAUAAGAUUAAUGUGUUUGUGUGUUGUUAUGGCACUCUUUGUUGACGUAAAUCUCAGGUACCUAAUGUCCAGAUCACUGAGUGAACAUGUUAUCUGUAGAAUCUGUGUAUCACUGUAACAACACUGCUUAGCUAUUUCAAUACCUGGGCUUGUUAAGUGACUGCAGGUACACCAAAUAGUGUGUAAAAUAUUCCAAUUUUGUUUACAGUUUUGAAUUCAGAGUAAUUUACUAUUGCUGUUUACAUUUGAAAGCAGCACUCUUUCCUCUAGUCUGGCAGACAGGGAGACUUCUUAGAAGGAAUUUAUGAGCACCAUGUUUAUGGCAGGUGGAAUCAGCAUUAGGUACACAGCCAUGCUCUUAUGUUGAUGUCCUCUGUCCUAGUUUCAGUCAUGGGUUGGGGACACACCCCAGUAAUUAUGGGUAUGAUCUCACAACAGCUUCGAGACUGACAAGGAUUCAAUCCACCGAGAGUGCACAUGUAAGUAUUUGUCCCCUCAGUCCACCUCCACUUACUCCAGCAUGCCUCGGUGGUCUUCUGCUCCUCGUCAUCUACCUCAUAAAUGUGACUCCUCCUCCCAUUCCUCUCCUCACCUCACAGCCCCUCCCUCAGCUAGCACAAACACAGGUGAGCACGCAAACCCAGGUGAGCGCAAACCCAGGUGAGCGCGCAAACACAGGUGAGCACAAACACAGGUGAGUGCACAGACUUUUUCUGAACACUAGUGUAAUCUCAUAGUGUCUCCAUAUGUCAUUGUGUGGCAUGUGGAAGGGAAUGAAUUCCUCCAUUGCAGAUUUUCUUUCCAGCAUGUCGGUGGCAGAGCCACUGGGAGUGAAGGCAUCAGAUGCAGAAGUGGGCGGGGCUUUGGGCCAGUACUGGAUCAGACUGCAGUCAGAGACAGCACGUAGGGCCUGGCAAAACCAAACCGGCCCGGUGCAAACACUGCCUGCUCCAGCCAGAAUGCCUCCAAAGAGCGCUGACGUCAGUGACCCCGAAACCGUGACCUCGACCCGCAACCGCAACCUUGACGCACAGCUGCGACCUCGACCUUGCAGCCGCGACCUCCACCCGCAGCCGCUAAGCCAUUUGCCAGAGUGUCACUCCUUAAUCGCCCAGCGUAACACAUUACCAGCGAUUCCUGGCGAUUAUCAGCGAUUAACCAGCAUGUGAUGCAGACCAUCAGCGCAUGAACUCUGCUCAGUGGAGCCUACAUCUGCGAAGAUGGCAACAGCCAAAAACUGACAAUCCAGCACGUAAACGGCUCAGCCUAUGACAAUAAAGCAUGGACAUCAUAUGACCAAUGAUAAACCAAAAUGGACAUCAAAUGACCAAUGAUAAACCGGCAUGGAACUGAAGUAACCAAUGUUUAUUGGGAACAUAAUGUAUGUUCCAAAUAGUGUACACCAAAUGUACAGAAAUGGUUUUAAAAAGUUUUAAAAAGUACAGCAAGAGUCCACAAUUACCCUGUACUGAACUAGUGAAAAUGUAUCAUUCAGUUUAGAUAUUAGAAUAUGUCUUCAACAUAGACAAGAGGUUUUGGCAAACUUAUUCAAGUAUAACUUAGUAUGUAACAUAUAGAAAGAAUGAACUGUACGCAACAUAGAAUCACAGAAAAGCUUUAAAACAUUUUACUCAGAGCCAAAAACCACAAGCAUGAUAGGAUAUGCAUUAAAACAUAUGGACCUAUAUGUUGGAUAUACAGAUAAGGAUGUAACAACUCACUCUAAAUGUCUAAUGGUUUUGAAAAAAACCUCCCCUAACCAGUCUGGGAAUGUGUGUUUAAACAGUUUGGUCCUGAAAUUCAUUACUAGACUUUGCAAGGUGGACAUUUGCGUACAGUGAGACUUUUUCCUGCCUUUAAGGUAGUAGAUAAUCGGCCGCAUGGUGUUGUGCUAGCAAUGUCACAAAAAUGGUAGUUGCCUGAAUGGUCAGUGAACGCCUGUGAGAUGAAAGUGGGACAGGAAAGCCCUGGACUUGGAGCCAGAGCAUGAAGAGCAGCCUCCUGAAACCUGAAACCAGACAAUCAGUGGAGUGUGUGUGUAUGUGUGUGUGUGUGUGUGUGUGUGUGUGUGUGGAAGGGGGGAGGCACUUACUUAUUUGUAAACAAGUAAAGGUCUUCAGUUUGAUUUAG